CCUACGGGUGGCUGCAGUGAGGAAUAUUGGUCAAUGGUCGGGAGACUGAACCAGCCAAGCCGCGUGAGGGAUGAAGGUACAGAGUAUCGUAAACCUCUUUUGUCAGGGAACAAAGGCGGGGACGUGUCCCCGGAUGAGUGUACCUGAAGAAAAAGCAUCGGCUAACUCCGUGCCAGCAGCCGCGGUAAUACGGAGGGUCCGUGCGUUAUCCGGAUUUCUUGGGUUAAAGGGGUGCGCAGGCGGUCUGUUGAGGCAGAGGUCAAAGCCCGGGGCUCAGCCCCGGCCCGCCGUUGAAACUGGCAGUCUCGAGUUGGAGAGAAGUAUGCGGAAUGCGCGGUGUAGCGGUGAAAUGCAUAGAUAUCGCGAAGAAUUCCGAUAGCGAAGGCAGCAUGCCGGCUCCACACUGACGCUGAGGCACGAAAGCGUGGGUAUCGAACAGGAUUAGAUACCCCAGUAGUC
rnacentral:rRNA from 1 species